CCUUGGGACCCUGCAUUGUCCUCCACGAGGCUGGGUGUCCUCUGGUUCUCCCAAAGGCCUCAAAGACAGAUUCCUGAUUCUGCUAGAACUGAGGAAGUGGAAAAUGCUAUUAUGAAGGCUGUUUCUAAUGAGGCUCACAGCUAUACAGUAAUUCUAAACCUGUUUAGAAGCAUCCACUUUUGAAAGCUGAAAUUCUACACUGAUCACAAAUGGCGGAUCUGGCUGGGAAUAGUCCAAGAGAGGAAAAGUAUAGUAACACUUUGGAGCUGGACAAGUUCAGGAUGUUCUCAGUCACCUCAGACAAGGGAUUAAUUAUGCUUUAGUACCAGUUCUGCCAUCCACUGUGCAGGAAUGGUGAAGUUUGCUCAGCAGCAGUACCUAUGAGAAUGGUCAGCACAGGUGACAGGUGAUAGGCACA
rnacentral:lncRNA from 1 species